UACGUAGGGGGCAAGCGUUGUCCGGAUUUAUUGGGCGUAAAGAGCGUGUAGGCGGCCAGGUAGGUCUGCUGUGAAAACUCGAGGCUCAACCUCGAGACGCCGGCGGAAACCAUCUGGCUAGAGUCCGGAAGAGGAGAGUGGAAUUCCUGGUGUAGCGGUGAAAUGCGUAGAUAUCGGGAGGAACACCAGUGGCGAAGGCGACUUCCUGGCCUGUUCUUGACGCUGAGGCGCGAAAGCUAGGGGAGCAAACGGG
rnacentral:rRNA from 1 species